rnacentral:lncRNA from 1 species
AUGAAGAAUAAGAUUGCAACAGUUUAAAAGCUUCAGACAACAAGCCGCCUGCGAAGACUGCACUGCGCGGCGUCGGAUACACAUCAGCGUCAAUUCAAAAAACCCGCGCAAACCUCGCCGCCAUUGUUGUUUACAAAAAUCGAGCACCCCGAACGAGCACCAGCCACCUCCGAACCGCACCAAUCCGGUGCGUAUUCGGGGUGCCCUGUUGACGUUCGGGUCGUCAGUCGGAAAAACCCAGAUAGAAUAGGAAAUAGGCAAAGUCUCAAAAGUCGAGAGAGUGGGGCAGGAGCAUAGGGGCAGGAGGAGGAGCAGGGCAGGAGGGGUAGGGUAGCUGCUGAAACUGAAGUUACUAACUAACCCAAAAAACUCAUCUCAUAUCAGUUGCGUGAUGUUAUCAGUACAUUUAGUAGAUUUUGUUUUGGUGGCAUGUUGUUGUCCCUCCUCCUUAUCUAAAAUUUUUAUUUUUAAACCGAAGCCAAGUGCCAAAAUCAACUCCUGAAUUCUUACUUAUGUGGGUGAAAUGACUCUCUGAAACAUUUGUGAAGUUUCUUAAAUUAAAUAAUAAUGACUGCUCCAGAUCGUAGAAUUUCUGAGUACAUGCAAGUGUUCUGUUCAUGGAAAAGUGCCUCAAAAAGUAUAGCAGAUUGUAUCAAAAUUCAGAGGAAUAGUUCCAAAGUUUCUUUAGAUGAUGUCGUUGACUUUGAAAGAUGCAUACAAUUAUUUGCAAAUGAUGGUUCAGGAUUUGCACCUUGCACAAUCAAUUUUAAAUUGGAAAAUAAUGGAUGAUCACCAAAAUUGCCAUAGCUUCUGAGGCUAAAAUCUUUGAACUGUAUGGCUCCUGUGAGGAGUACAUAGGGACUCAUCAUGCUGAAUAUAUUGAUACUUUUGAAGAUAUGGAAGUAUUCUUAACUGAAAUGGAUGUUGCUCUAGCUAAUGAAUGUACAUUGAAGCUUGCCAAGACAAAAAAUAGAAACUGUAUGUGGGUAUAUGGAAUUUACAUCUCAGUUGCUGAGUUGAACCCCAGUUCAAUGAAACCAGGAUUGGACCUAAAUAAAGUAGAAGAACGUUUGAAAACGUCAAGCCAACCUUUGACAGACAAAGCAUUCAAAUGUAAAGAAUUUUUGAAGAUGUACAAUUCAAACUUGCCUAGUAUAUCGCACACGAAAGUUCCUGAUCCCAUACUCAUUUUAAAGAUGUUGGAAGGUGAAUUUCUGAGUUCCUUGCUCUCUCAGUCAGAUAGUUCCAAUGGAACUAGUCCAUUUCCCCUUAGCUCUCUUCUGUCUAAAGAUUCUCACCACACCGCCUCCUCCGAACGCAGAAACAGCCAUUCUUCUGCUCAAGAAAGUGGGCUUUGCUCUGAAAAUGAAUUUGCCAUGGUACAAACUGAGUUAAAGUAUUAUUUGGAUAAGAAAAUGAUGAUGCUCGAAAAUAAGUUGACAGCGAUGAUAAAUUGUAAACUCAAAUCAGUAGAGGAAAAAUAUUCAUCAAAAGUGGAUAAAAUUCUUGAUUUGCUAGAGAAAAUGAACUGUGUUCCUGAAUAA